ensembl:snRNA U6 U6 spliceosomal RNA
GGGCUCGCUUUGGCAGCAUAUAUACUAAAAUUGGAACGAUACAGAGAUAAGCAAUGGCCCCUGCACAAGGAUGAUGCACAAAUUCAUGAAGCGUUCCAUAUUAAA